rnacentral:rRNA from 1 species
AGAGUUUGAUCCUGGCUCAGGAUAAACGCUGGCGGCGUGCCUAACACAUGCAAGUCGAACGCGCACGAAGGGGAAACUCAGCGUGUGAGUGGCGGACGGGUGAGUAACACGUGGGUACCUGCCCUGUGGUGAGGAAUACCGGCGAGAAAUCGCUGACAAGACCGCAUAGGUAUGGGGAGAAGAUCCGCAUACAAAGCUUGGGGGAAACCCCGGGUGCCAUGGGAGGGGCCUGCGGCCGAUUAGGCUAGUUGGUGAGGUAAGAGCCCACCAAGGCGACGAUCGGUAGCUGGUCUGAGAGGAUGAUCAGCCACACUGGGAUUGAGAGCGGCCCAGACUCCUACGGGGGGCAGCAGUGAGGAAUUUUCGUCAAUGGGGGAAACCCUGAACGAGCAACGCCGCGUGCAGGAAGAAGGUUUUCGGAUCGUAAACUGCAAAUCUCUGGGAAGAGCAAAGGACGGUACCAGAGGAGAAGCCCCGGCUAACUGCGUGCCAGCAGCCGCGGUAAUACGUAGGGGGCGAGCGUUGUCCGGAGUUACUGGGCGUAAAGGGCACGCAGGCGGUCUGCUACGUUCGGAGUGACAGUUGUCAGCUUAACUGACAAAGGACUUCGAAAACGGGUGGACUUGAGGCCUUGGGAGGGAGACGGAAUUCCGGGUGGAGCGGUGAAAUGCGUAGAGAUCCGGAGGAACACCGAAGGCGAAGGCAGUCUCCUGGCAAGGUCCUGACGCUCAGGUGCGAAAGCUAGGGGAGCGAACAGGAUUAGAUACCCUAGUAGUCC